GCCCGGUUAGCUCAAUCGGUAGAGCGUGAGACUCUUAUGCCUUGUGCAGAGAUUAUCUCAAGGUUGCGGGUUCGACCCCCGCAUCGGGCU